GUUGCCUUUGAAUGGGACCCUUGAUACAAGGCUUUCAUAGACCAGCCGGUGCUGAUGGGGUCCGGGACUUGACGAUGGCGCCUGCUCGUUCCUGUUGUGUUCUAUCUGAGGCAUGAUUUUCUUUCGUUUUUGGGAGGUAGAGAGCACGGGGCAGAGGUUGCACCUGACACAUUAGAACUCCGUUGUCACUGCUGUGGCUGUUAUUCCCCUCGGCAAGAGCCAAGGAGCAAACAGGACGUGAAGAUCCCGGUGUUACACAUCCAAUCGUUCACCUCCUUCCAAGACUAUGACAUUCCAGGAAACCUUCACUGCUAAGAGGAACUAAGAUCUAGAGUAUCUCCUCGAGGAAGUACAACUGACUUGUCUUUGGACAAAAUUGAGAAGAACUCAUAAACUUGGCUUCCUCGCUUCUGCUCCUCAGACGCGCGUGGAUGAUUUGAAGAUAUUAGCCUAACAAGAUGGAAGCAGGUUUAAAAUUUUACAUAAGAAGUUACCUUUUUCAGUUGUGUUGAUGUUCCUUUCAGCUGGUCCUAUAGUACCCCUCCUCAGGAAUGUCUCCCCAGUGCAAGGACAAAGACUGAAGAGACUGCUAUAUUGAUGGACUCUCAAGCCAACUAUGAAGUUGAAACAAAGAAAGUGAUCACCUGAAGACACCUCCUCUGCUAAGAAACACCCCCAAAUUGUGCAGCUUCUGCCACUAGAACUCUCAGAACAAGAGACAAUCUUUUCAAGAAACAGAAAAACUCAAUAAUGACAUCUAGAUUUUCAUGAGCCAAGAACUUUCCCUUCCUCAUGUGUAUUCCUCUGUUUGUACUUAAAUUCAUGUGACAUUCAUUUUUUUCCUAGUAUGGAUAUGCUUAUUAAUGCACUUGUUUCAAAAUCCCAAAUUGCACAAAUGUGUUAAUAUUUUAAGAAACAAAAUGAAUCCUACAAGGAGAAUGAUUUUUAGCCACACAUAGGGUUGGAUCUUGAGAGUGACCUACAGAAUAAAAGUACUUUUAAAAUAAAGUAGUCAGAGGCUAUUCAAAGGGUAAAAUAAUCAUAGUACCACAUUGGUCCACUUGACACUAACCAAUCGAUCAUUUUUUUUUAAUCAAGAAAGCUAGAUUCUAUCAGAUAAAAUCACUGCUUCUAAAGAGUUUAAAUCUAGUUAGAAAAAGUUAUAGAAAUGUUUGCAAAGAUAAGUAACAGAUAGAGUCAGUAGAGGAUAAGAUCAAAAACAAAACCAAGCAAAAGAUGAGUUCAGGGGAGUUUGCCAUCAAGUUGGCAAAACUGACUUACUUAGGGAAGAAAGUUAUAAAACAGGAAAAUAUGAGAUGAACCUUGAGUGAUGUGGAAGAUUUAGAUAAAUGGAAAGGAAGGAGAAAAUGGAGUUCUUUAGGUGGUUGUAAUUGGAGGAGGAAAUGAAUACACACAUCUUGUUGACUUAAACCCAGACAUUCAGCAGCUCUCUAUACAUAUCUGGAAAAGACUGCACAGUCACCUCCUGUCUCUCACCCCAGGUAUUACUUAGAAUUAUUAUCAUAUUUCCCUUCCUUUAAAGUAAGUAAGGGUGAUUGGUGACAAUAUGGAGAACUAUGAUUUUUCCAUUAACCUAAUAAUAAUUGGUAUUUAUUGAGUUCUGUUAAGCAUUUUACAUAUUAACUCACUUAAGCCUUUCAACAGCCUUGCAAAAUAGGUAUUAUUAUCCCCAUUUUACAGGCAAGAAAACUGAGGUUUAAGUAACUUGCCGAAGUGCCAUAUACAGGGCUCACAUUCAGUAUUGCAGUUGCAAAGCUCAUGAUCUAUAGUGCCAAGUUGCAAUAUUGUAGUCAAUGUCACAAUUAUUACCCCUUUUUAUAUUCCUUGAUAUUUUUCCAUGGCAAACAAUUAGCUAUUUCAUUUAAUAAUCACCUAAAACUUUUCAGUCUUCUGAUUAAAAUUACGCUGGAGUGAUAGAAUGUAUUUUCAUGAUAGAAAUUGGGAAAAAAAAUGGGGAAUGAAGUUUAUCAGCAUUUCAGACUUGUUUUUUUUUUUUUUUUUUGCAAGACUUUGAUGAGAUUGUUCACUUUUGUCUAUGUAAAAUCCCAAAUCCUUGAGAAUAAAAAAGGGGGAGGUUUAAGUCACUUGUUGCAAUGCCCUUUUUAAUAGAGGCAAUAAAUCUAAAGGCCAUAAAUUUAGAGUGACUUACAGAAGAUCGAACUUUGGAGUGUGGCAGAGUAAGGGAUGGAAACCGGGCCCUCCAGUUCACUAUCAGUAGCUUUUGCACUGGUCUGCCCUUCCUAAAUUAAGUAUGCACUUCAAUUUGAUGAGUGGAAACAGUCUAUCUGGGCAGUAACCAGGGAGCUUUGUGCCUAGUAGAUUGCUUCUGUUCUGCACUUCUUUGGUUUCCCACCUCAAUGUAAAAAAUAGCUAGCAAUGAAGUCCAGAAGUUGUCAAUGGUUCAUCCCCAGAAGAAUGCAUAAUGUCCAAAGUUGUAUGUGUAUGAUGUCUUCAAUGGUAUUAAGUUAUUUCAAAUUCUUAGUUCACCUACAUAAAUCAUUUCUAACAAGCAUCUUCUUAACCAACUUUAUGCACAGUGUAUGUUUGUAAGUGCUUCUGCACGAAUGUUUAUACAUGACUGUUUCCAUAGUACUUAUGUUUUUAAAAAUAUUCAGUCAUUUCCUACUAUAAUCCUCAUGUAUCCAUGUAACUGACUCAAAAAUACUUCAGCCACAGAAAGCUAAAACUGAGCAAAUCUCAUUCUUCUUUUCCAUCCCCUUUGCAUGUGGCUGGCAUUUAGUAAUGAUUAAUAAUAUGGCCAGCUGAAUAACAGAGGUUUGAGACACAAUUCUUUCUCAAAGGAGUCAGCUAAGCUGGGUCUACUUAUGGACAAACAUCUAAAUGUGUGGAAGUAUCUGAUAUUUGACAAUGGUAAAUUUCCACUUAGCUAGCUAGCAUUGUCAGACUUCAAUCUCCUCAUGGCUCUGGCCGUCCUGUUUUAAGCAUGAUAAUUGUUGGCCACAUCUCACAUAGUUCUCAUUGAGUGAGUUCAUAAAUAAACAGGGUUUUUUUUUUUUUUUAAAGAGCAGCCAAGCACAAAGUGUGACUUUGUUGACAUUUUAUGUGACUUUGUCAUAUGUUCCUAACCCCCAAUAAAAGCAAUGUUGCAUCAACUGUGAA
rnacentral:lncRNA from 1 species